rnacentral:rRNA from 1 species
GUGGGGUAAUGGCCUACCAAGGCAUCGACGGGUAGCUGGUCUGAGAGGAUGAUCAGCCACACUGGGACUGAGACACGGCCCAGACUCCUACGGGAGGCAGCAGUGGGGAAUCUUGCGCAAUGGGCGAAAGCCUGACGCAACAACGCCGCGUGCGGGAAGAAGGCUCUCGGGUUGUAAACCGCUUUCAGAAGGAACGAAAAUGACGGUACUUUCAGAAGAAGGUGCGGCCAACUACGUGCCAGCAGCCGCGGUGACACGUAGGCACCAAGCGUUGUCCGGAUUUAUUGGGCGUAAAGAGCUCGUAGGCGGUUCAGUAAGUCGGGUGUGAAAACUUUGGGCUCAACCCAAAGCCUGCAUCCGAUACUGCUGUGACUUGAGUUCGGUAGGGGAGUGGGGAAUUCCUAGUGUAGCGGUGAAAUGCGCAGAUAUUAGGAGGAACACCGGUGGCGAAGGCGCCACUCUGGGCCGAAACUGACGCUGAGGAGCGAAAGCGUGGGUAGCAAACAGGAUUAGAUACCCUGGUAGUCCACGCCGUAAACGUUGGGCACUAGGUGUGGGUCUCAACCAACGAGAUCCGCGCCGUCGCUAACGCAUUAAGUG